CCUACGGGGGGCUGCAGUGGGGAAUAUUGCACAAUGGGCGAAAGCCUGAUGCAGCAACGCCGCGUGAGGGAAGACGGUCUUCGGAUUGUAAACCUUUGUUAUUGGUGAAGAAACAAAUGACGGUAGCCAAUGAGGAAGCUCCGGCUAACUACGUGCCAGCAGCCGCGGUAAUACGUAGGGAGCGAGCGUUGUCCGGAAUUACUGGGUGUAAAGGGAGCGUAGGCGGGAAGGCAAGUCAGCUGUGAAAUACAUGGGCUUAACCCAUGGACUGCAGUUGAAACUGUUUUUCUUGAGUGAAGUAGAGGUAGGCGGAAUUCCGAGUGUAGCGGUGAAAUGCGUAGAUAUUCGGAGGAACACCAGUGGCGAAGGCGGCCUACUGGGCUUUAACUGACGCUGAGGCUCGAAAGUGUGGGGAGCAAACAGGAUUAGAUACCCUGGUAGUC
rnacentral:rRNA from 1 species